rnacentral:rRNA from 1 species
CAGUAGCCGCGGUAAUACGAAGGGGGCUAGCGUUGCUCGGAAUCACUGGGCGUAAAGGGUGCGUAGGCGGGUUUUUAAGUCAGAGGUGAAAUCCUGGAGCUCAACUCCAGAACUGCCUUUGAUACUGAAAGUCUUGAGUAUGGGAGAGGUGAGUGGAACUGCGAGUGUAGAGGUGAAAUUCGUAGAUAUUCGCAAGAACACCAGUGGCGAAGGCGGCUCACUGGCCCAUAACUGACGCUGAGGCACGAAAGCGUGGGGAGCAAACAGGAUUAGAUACCCGCGUAGUCCCUGUCUCUUAUAC